UAAAUGAGACGCCAAGGAUGCGUAUAUGAAAGCUGUAUCAAUAGGCUUUAGCAUUUCUACUAUACAGAAUUAGACCUUAACCCUGUGGUUUGUAUUUAGAAAUGUUCAUUCCACAUAAGGGGAAUAGCAUUACAUGUCUGUAUUUUGAUAUAUCCUUUUUUAUGGGAUUUUUUUUCCAUGUGAGGUAACUAAGGCAACUUUAUUUUGGUUUUCUCCCUGUUUAAAUGUGCAUUAUAGACGAGUGGGGGAGGAGGACUAAGGAAAAAGGAGCGACAGUUAAGGCUCUGAUUUAUAUCACUUAUUACGCUCCCUGUAGCGCUGUUGCUCCAUGGCCCAGUUGCAAGUGAGAUCACCAACACUAUGGAGAACAAAACCUAGUCAGCACAGCCUCUAUAGCUUAAUUUUGCCAAGCGCCACGUGUCGGGGAUGACAUUUCCUGGCCCUCAGCAUUAAUGACUGUAGCACAAAGUAUGUCAAAGUAUAGCACUGCCUGAUUCAGCCCCAAAUCACCAUUUCGAUCCAGUGACAAAAUGUCAUGAUGUCACUGAAAUUCUUGGAAUAGGUAUAUAAUAAGCUUAAUCACAUAUACAAUGUGCACAGAUGUAAAACGUAUGCUAUGUUUGCACAAACAUAUUUGCACAAGGUCAUUAAAGAAACCAUAAUUACAUGUGUAGUAUUCGUAAUAGGUACCAUCAACUUCUUUUUAUUCUUGUGUAUGAACAAUUAUACAGUUAUGUUUAUUAAGGUCGGGACUGGUGAACUGAGCCUUUUGGCUUCUAAUGCUGUAUUGGGAAUAUACCGAAGAGUACAAACGUAAGAGAUAUGAAAAAAUGUCUGUGCCAAUAGAAAAGGCAGAUACGAUUAAAUAUUGUGUAACUUUUCAUUUACUUGUGGGAUCUACAGAGAGGUGCACACGACGCCUCCGGCAGAUUCAUUUUUGUAAAAAAGACGGAACUGAUGUAAUUAAACUGUACAUGAAAUGACUUUGUACUUUGCACAAAAUUCAACAAUGUUUCUACAAAGUAUGAAUGUCAACAUCUAAUUUAAGAUCUACCGGCAUUGUCUGGUUGGAACUAAAUAAUGAGUGUGUUUCCUGUUGUCCAAAUAAAGAAAGAAUUCUAAAGCA